rnacentral:sRNA from 1 species
UGCGAGGAUCUCACUGGUUGUUUAUUGAAAGGCUAAGCAAGUAGGUUGAGGCCCCUGGGAAGCAGGGGUGGAUCCUGUGUCACCAGGGCUGCCCCUUACCCUAAACCUUGGCCCCGACAACCCACCCACCUGCCCAGCAGUGCUGAUCUGGGACGAUGCCCGGGAGGGCAAGGACUCCAAGGAGAAGCUGGUGCUGGAGUUCACCUUCACCAAGCCAGUGCUUUCUGUGCGCAUGCGCCAUGACAAGAUCGUGAUCGUGCUGAAGAACCGCAUCUAUGUGUACUCCUUCCCCGACAAUCCCCGAAAGCUGUUUGAGUUUGAUACCCGGGACAACCCCAAGGCCCUCAGCCAGUUCUCCCCACCUCUCGUCCUGCCCCACCCCUGGGUACGCCAGUGGCAGAGCAGAAACACCUCCUGAGGACAUGGGGCUCUGUGACCUCUGUCCCAGCCUGGAGAAGCAACUGUUAGUGUUCCCGGGACACAAGUGUGGGAGUCUGCAACUUGUGGACCUGGCGAGCACAAAGCCUGGCACCUCGUCUGCUCCAUUCACGAUCAAUGCACAUCAGAGUGACAUAGCCUGUGUGUCUCUAAACCAGCCAGGCACU